rnacentral:rRNA from 1 species
GAAACUUUGCCGACGGCGGGGAGGCUACACAUGCAAGUCGAGCGGAUGAAGGGAGCUUGCUCCUGGAUUCAGCGGCGGACGGGUGAGUAAUGCCUAGGAAUCUGCCUGGUAGUGGGGGAUAACGUCCGGAAACGGGCGCUAAUACCGCAUACGUCCUGAGGGAGAAAGUGGGGGAUCUUCGGACCUCACGCUAUCAGAUGAGCCUAGGUCGGAUUAGCUAGUUGGUGGGGUAAAGGCCUACCAAGGCGACGAUCCGUAACUGGUCUGAGAGGAUGAUCAGUCACACUGGAACUGAGACACGGUCCAGACUCCUACGGGAGGCAGCAGUGGGGAAUAUUGGACAAUGGGCGAAAGCCUGAUCCAGCCAUGCCGCGUGUGUGAAGAAGGUCUUCGGAUUGUAAAGCACUUUAAGUUGGGAGGAAGGGCAGUAAGUUAAUACCUUGCUGUUUUGACGUUACCAACAGAAUAAGCACCGGCUAACUUCGUGCCAGCAGCCGCGGUAAUACGAAGGGUGCAAGCGUUAAUCGGAAUUACUGGGCGUAAAGCGCGCGUAGGUGGUUCAGCAAGUUGGAUGUGAAAUCCCCGGGCUCAACCUGGGAACUGCAUCCAAAACUACUGAGCUAGAGUACGGUAGAGGGUGGUGGAAUUUCCUGUGUAGCGGUGAAAUGCGUAGAUAUAGGAAGGAACACCAGUGGCGAAGGCGACCACCUGGACUGAUACUGACACUGAGGUGCGAAAGCGUGGGGAGCAAACAGGAUUAGAUACCCUGGUAGUCCACGCCGUAAACGAUGUCGACUAGCCGUUGGGAUCCUUGAGAUCUUAGUGGCGCAGCUAACGCGAUAAGUCGACCGCCUGGGGAGUACGGCCGCAAGGUUAAACUCAAAUGAAUUGACGGGGGCCCGCACAAGGGGUGGAGCAUGUGGUUUAAUUCGAAGCACGCGAAGACCUUACCUGGCCUUGACAUGCUGAGACUUUCCAAAGAUGGAUUGGUGCUUCGGGACU